rnacentral:snoRNA from 1 species
GUUGGUGUAAAUGAUGACUAAGCUUUUUUCCCCAUCAGAUCGGCAAUGCUGAUUUAUUUUGAACAAUUUGCCAGUUAAUUCUGAUACACCGGC